AUUGAACGCUGGCGGAAUGCUUUACACAUGCAAGUCGAACGGCAGCACGGGAGCUUGCUCCUGGUGGCGAGUCGCGAACGGGUGAGUAAUAUAUCGGAACGUAUCCAAUAAUGGGGGAUAACUAGUCGAAAGAUUAGCUAAUACCACAUACGCCCUGUGGGGGAAAGCUGGGGAUCUUGGGACCUAGCGAUAAUGGAGCGGGCGAUAUCUGAUUAGCUAGUAGGUGAGGUAAAAGCUCACCUAGGCGACGAUCUGUAGCUGGUCUGAGAGGACGACCAGCCACACUGGAACUGAGACACGGUCCAGACUCCUACGGGAGGCAGCAGUGGGGAAUUUUGGACAAUGGGCGCAAGCCUGAUCCAGCCAUUCCGCGUGAGUGAAGAAGGCCUUCGGGUUGUAAAGCUCUUUCGCAAGGGAAGAAAACUUAACCUCUAACAUAGGUUGAGGCUGACGGUACCUUGAUAAGAAGCACCGGCUAACUACGUGCCAGCCGCCGCAGUAA
rnacentral:rRNA from 1 species